rnacentral:rRNA from 1 species
UGGGGAAUAUUGGACAAUGGGCGAAAGCCUGAUCCAGCCAUGCCGCGUGAGUGAUGAAGGCCCUAGGGUUGUAAAGCUCUUUCAACGGUGAAGAUAAUGACGGUAACCGGAGAAGAAGCCCUGGCUAACUUCGUGCCAGCAGCCGCGGUAAUACGAAGGGGGCUAGCGUUGCUCGGAAUCACUGGGCGUAAAGCGCACGUAGGCGGAUCGUUAAGUCAGGGGUGAAAUCCUGGGGCUCAACCUCAGAACUGCCCUUGAUACUGGCGAUCUCGAGUUCGAGAGAGGUUGGUGGAACUCCGAGUGUAGAGGUGAAAUUCGUAGAUAUUCGGAAGAACACCAGUGGCGAAGGCGGCCAACUGGCUCGAUACUGACGCUGAGGUGCGAAAGCGUGGGGAGCAAACA